AACGAACGCUGGCGGCAUGCCUAACACAUGCAAGUCGAACGAGACCUUCGGGUCUAGUGGCGCACGGGUGCGUAACGCGUGGGAACCUGCCUUUAGGUUCGGAAUAACUCAGAGAAAUUUGAGCUAAUACCGGAUGAUGUCUUCGGACCAAAGAUUUAUCGCCUUUAGAUGGGCCCGCGUAAGAUUAGCUAGUUGGUGGGGUAAAGCCUACCAAGGCGACGAUCUUUAGCUGGUCUGAGAGGAUGAUCAGCCACACUGGGACUGAGACACGGCCCAGACUCCUACGGGAGGCAGCAGUGGGAAUAUUGGACAAUGGGCGAAAGCCUGAUCCAGCAAUGCCGCGUGAGUGAUGAAGGCCUUAGGGUUGUAAAGCUCUUUUACCCGAGAUGAUAAUGACAGUAUCGGGAGAAUAAAGCUCCGGGCUAACGUCCGUGCCAGCAGCCGCGGUAAUGUGACUACUG
rnacentral:rRNA from 1 species